GGACGAACGCUGGCGGCGUGCUUAACACAUGCAAGUCGAACGAUGAACCACUUCGGUGGGGAUUAGUGGCGAACGGGUGAGUAACACGUGGGCAAUCUGCCCUUCACUCUGGGACAAGCCCUGGAAACGGGGUCUAAUACCGGAUACGACUACUGAGGGCAUCCUUGGUGGUGGAAAGCUCCGGCGGUGAAGGAUGAGCCCGCGGCCUAUCAGCUUGUUGGUGAGGUAACGGCUCACCAAGGCGACGACGGGUAGCCGGCCUGAGAGGGCGACCGGCCACACUGGGACUGAGACACGG
rnacentral:rRNA from 1 species